GACGAACGCUGGCGGCGUGCUUAACACAUGCAAGUCGAACGGGCCCGCCCCUGUUUUUGGGGGUGGGUUGAGUGGCGAACGGGUGAGUAUCACGUGAGUAACCUGCCCCCUGCUCCUGGAUAACUGCUUGAAAGGGCGGCUAAUACGGGGUGUGCCGGCUGUUCCGCAUGGGCCUGGUCGGGAUAGUUUCAUCUUCGGGUGUUUCGGUGGGGGAUGGGCUCGCGGCCUAUCAGCUGGUUGGGGGGGUGAUGGCCCACCAAGGCGGUGACGGGUGGCCGGCGUGAGAGGGUGGGCGGCCACACUGGGACUGAGACACGGCCCAGACUCCUGCGGGAGGCAGCAGUGGGGGGUAUUGCACAAUGGGCGGAAGCCUGAUGCAGCGACGUCGCGUGAGGGAUGGAGGCCUUCGGGUUGUGAACCUCUUUCUCCGGUGGUGAAGGCCCUGUCCGGUGCGGCGGGGUUGACGGUAGCCGGGUAUGAAGCGCCGGCUAACUACGUG
rnacentral:rRNA from 1 species